rnacentral:lncRNA from 1 species
CCGAGCCGCCAGAGGCGCCUGCUCGGGUUCAGCCUUGCGCCUCGGCAGCCCGCCGGCUCCCAGUCCGGCUCCACGGGCGCUGCAGGUGACCCGGCGGCGCAUUCCAGCACUCCCCGCCGCCCGGGCCACCGCCGCCACCGCCACCGCAGGCGCCCCGGCCGCGACUCAGCCACAGGAAAGCGGAGAGCGCCCGAGCCGUCCCGGCCGGCAGGGUCCUUCAGUCGAUCGCGUCGUUUUUCCUCCUUUCAAAUUUCGGCCGGAACGAAGCCGGCACGCAGCGGCGGGGCCGAAUGUGGUCCGCCCUCAGCCCAAGCCGCAUGAAGUCGGGGGUGAAAGAAGAGGCCGGCCGAAUGCGCCCGCUAACUCGUUUCGCAGUUGUUCUAACUUAUCACCCCAAUACUCCCUACCUAAACAAAACAAAUCCUCAACCAACCCCUAAAUCCCAAACAAACCAACCCCUCCCGCAAGCCCCUCCGGACGGACCGAUGGGCUGAGCCUCCUCCAGCCGCUGCCAGGGUCCGACGGGCAAGCGUCACCAACGAUGCGCUCCAGCCCGGCAAUCUCCUCGGCUUUGGAAAUAGAAUUUGGAAAAACGAAUCCUUUUCAUUAAAGAAAAAUCUUCGGA